ACUACGGGAGGCAGCAGGAGGGAAUAUUGCUCAAUGGGGGAAACCCUGAAGCAGCAACGCCGCGUGGAGGAGGAAGGUUGUCGGAGGGUAAACUCCGGUUGGUAGAGAAGAGAAUGACGGUAUCUAACGAAUAAGCACCGGCUAACUCCGUGCCAGCAGCCGCGGUAAUACGGAGGGGGCAAGCGUUCCUCGGAAUCACUGGGCGUAAAGAGCGCGGAGGCGGGAUAGCAAGUCAGAUGUGAAAUCCUAUGGCUUAACCAUAGAACGGCAUUUGAAACUGUUAUUCUAGAGUAUGGGAGAGGUAGGUGUACUUCUUGUUGUCGCGGUCACAUCCGUCGAGAUCCCGAGGAAUACUCAUUGCGAAGGCGCCCUGCUAGACCAUAACUGCCGCUGCUGCGCGAACGCGUGGGGAGCAAACAGGAUUAGAUACCCGAGUAGUC
rnacentral:rRNA from 1 species